rnacentral:rRNA from 1 species
GAUGAACGCUGGCGGCGUGCCUAAUACAUGCAAGUCGAGCGAACAGACGAGGAGCUUGCUCCUCUGACGUUAGCGGCGGACGGGUGAGUAACACGUGGAUAACCUACCUAUAAGACUGGGAUAACUACGGGAAACCGGAGCUAAUACCGGAUAAUAUAUUGAACCGCAUGGUUCAAUAGUGAAAGACGGUUUUGCUGUCACUUAUAGAUGGAUCCGCGCCGCAUUAGCUAGUUGGUAAGGUAACGGCUUACCAAGGCAACGAUGCGUAGCCGACCUGAGAGGGUGAUCGGCCACACUGGAGCUGAGACACGGUCCAGACUCCUACGGGAGGCAGCAGUAGGGAAUCUUCCGCAAUGGGCGAAAGCCUGACGGAGCAACGCCGCGUGAGUGAUGAAGGUCUUCGGAUCGUAAAACUCUGUUAUUAGGGAAGAACAAAUGUGUAAGUAACUAUGCACGUCUUGACGGUACCUAAUCAGAAAGCCACGGCUAACUACGUG